GCUGAGGAAAUAAAUAAACAUAAAUAUAUGAAUUUAUGUUCAAUAUGUUCCUCAUCAAUGGAGGAAUUUUUGCUUUAUAAUUUUUUUCAUUCAUUAGGAAAUUAGAGGAAUAGUGUCGGAUCCACAUAUCUCUAAUUUGACAAAAAUUUCAACAUAAAUGGCAUAAAAUUUGAGAAAUAAAAAUUUCACCAUUAUUUUCCUCUAAAAGUGUGGUUACCGAUUGAAUCUUAAGCUAUAGUCUGUAACAAGAUUUGUUCAUCUGAUAAUUAUUCAGAAAUACCAUAGUCUUAUUAUUAUUAUUUUUGAAUAAAUGUUAAAUUUAUUCAUCUCAAAACUUUUUUACAAUAAAUAUAUCUUUAGUAUAAAGAAAACGAAAGAAUCAAGAGAAAUUAAGUUCUAUAUACCUAGAAAAACAUAUAAUCAGGUAAAUACCUUAUUCAGUAUUGAUAAUUUUAAAAUCUAAAACUACACAUGCCCAAACCAUCAACUUUCUUCUUUCUUUCACCUUAAAGUCUUUUGUUCACACAAUAAUCUUCCUUCUCCAUCUCUCGUAUCUCUCCAAAAUAAAUAAACACAAGAGAAAAAUGAGAGAGACCACUAAGGCACUAACAUUUGAGAAAGUAUCGCGAGUUAAUUUCUCUGAUUUGUAUUAUAACUCGUUUGACAUUCAUUGCUUUCGUUCGUGGAAGGCUCGAGCUCCCAAGCGUAUGUUUAUUGCCGGAGAAGAACUGGUAUGAGAGAAGAUUAACUCCUAACUCAAAGCAAAAAUGGAUUGAAUCAAUUAUCUCACCACGAACCGAUGAGAUUGAAUUUCUGCAGAACUUGAUGUUUGGAAAGGUUAUAUAUUUAUCAGAGAAUCCAUCAUUCUCCUUAAGAUUCAGUCAAUAUAUCAUAGUUCAGACUCUCAGAGUGAAGAAAAAAUACGAGAUGUGGUUUUGGUUGAUGGAAAUCCGGUGAGAAUGUCCCAGCACACGACAGAGAAAUAGAAGAAGAGUGUAAGGCCAAAUUUGUAUCCAUCAUCGAAAACACAACAUUCAGUGACCAAGACUCCUCUUGGGAUGACGAGGCUGUUGACAACAUGCUGUGCAUAAUAGGGAAGGACAUGCAUUCAAGAAAUCCAUGUUUGUUGGGUUAAUGUUGUUGAUUUGUUUUGCUUGAGGAACGAGAAGAAACUAAAAGAAAAAGAUGCAAGAGAGAAGAAGGAGAGAGACCAGUAACAUUUGACAAAGUAUUGCAGGUUAAUUUAUGUGAUUUGUAUUAUAAUUCGUCUGAUGUGUUAUAAAACAUGUUGACACUUUUAAAAAUGGUCAAUAAGAUGUUAAUAAAAUAGUUGGCUUUACCUGAUA